UCCCUGGUGGCUCAGGUGGUAAAGCAUCUGCCUGCGAUGCAGGGGACCCGGGUUUGAUCCCGGGUGGAGAA
rnacentral:tRNA from 1 species